AGGGGAGCAUAAGUAACCCAUUGUGUUGCUGCUCUUCAUGUAUAAUCUACGUAGAACUGCAUUGAGGCUGGCUUUGUCUGACUCACUUUAAAUAGGCCUUUAUCAUUUAGCUACAGGCAAACUAUGCGCUAUUGUAACAUGGUAGACAGGACUCCAUGUCAGAAAGGAAGGUGGUAGGCUUUGACAUAAUUGAACAUUAGGCAAUAGGUAUACCUAGCUCAUCCGUUUAGCAGCACAGCUUCACGUUUCUCAGAGGACCUGCAAGACUGCUCUCAACCUACUUCGCCUGAUUUGCUUUGUUGGAGCCACACAGAUGUCUACACAACAUCAAAAUGCCCCAAUCAUCUUUCACUUUCACAGGUGAACACCCUCUUAAAACAGCGACAGGCAAGUGUGCUGUUGUCUCUGGAAAAAAGGUUGUUUUUAAAAGACAAAAUGCAAAACAUGAACCAAAAUGGAAAGUAUGGAAACUCAGGAAAGGUGAAGCCCAGGGCAGAAUUUGUCUGGUGUUUGUAUGGCAUCACAGGAGUGAAGAUCAUAUCCUCAUUCAGAAUGGAAAUACGGUGAAGCUCAAGCGUGUCCCUAAUUUUGAGAAAAAUAUAAAGGAAUACCUGAAUUAUACUGAAUGUCAUUUUCAUUGGUGCAAUCUGAAUGGAAAUAAAGGCAGUUUGCAGUGUGCAGCAGCAAAGGAUUUAUACUUGGCAAUUGGCAAACGUUGGCUGAUUGCCAGCACAACAGCAGAGCCAGCACUGUUCGAGUUGAUUUAGAUGUUGAUUUACCACAAAUCACAUAUCUUUAAUUCCCCUCUUGCAACUGUUUUAAUUAAAUCAUAUUUGUUUUAUUGUGUUUUAUUACUCUUUUAUUUAUUUUGUCUUAACCCUCCAUGGCAUGAAUUUAAUUUUUUUUCGUAGAAAAAAUAUUUUGCCCCAUCUUUAGAGAGCUUGGGGGUCCCUGUAGGAGAGUGUUUUUCAUCUCAAUUUCAUUUCAAGGUUCAACUUCAUGCUUAUGCAUUAGACUAGGCAUACUAAGUUCUCUCCCUAAUCCUAGACUUUCACGUUGCUUGUUUGUUUGUAAUGGAUGCAAAACAGCCUAUUGCUGAAUGUCUA